CCGCACUUUAAUCCAUCCCGCCUCUCGGAGCCGAAGACGGUGGAACCAUCGCGCCCGCGAUAGAUGCGGAGCCGCCUGCAACAGCCGCUGCAGACGAGAGAGAGAGGCAUUGGAGGGGAGUAAUAAAAAACACCCUUGUGGAAGGGACUAUGAUUCAAGCAUUCCCAGUUGUUAUACAGAAUAACGGACUGAAAAGAUGGGAGGCGUUUGACUGGAAAGUCCUUGAGAAAUUAAAGACUGCUGUGAGUCAAUAUGGAAUCAAAUCUACCCUUUCUGAUAAAGCCAGUAAGAAACCCUUGGUCAAGUGUUUUAAUUGUGGCAAACUUGGACACAUCAGGAGCCAAUGUAAAGCUUCUGCUAGUAAAAGGUGGUGCAACAGUUGUAAGAAAGAUAAACACCCACCCAAGAAUGUAGAAAGAAGGGAAACUUUACACCGAGCGCGAAGGCCCCUCGCGCGACGACACAAAUGCAAGGGGCUUGGGCUGCCAGCCCUCAGGCAGCCUCACAACUGCCAGAUCCGCCACUGCAGGAAGCUCCGGAGUGGACGUGGAAACCGCAGUAGACAU